rnacentral:rRNA from 1 species
AGCGAACGCUGGCGGCAGGCUUAACACAUGCAAGUCGAGCGGAUGUAGCAAUACAUCAGCGGCAGACGGGUGAGUAACACGUGGGAACGUACCUUUUGGUUCGGAACAACACAGGGAAACUUGUGCUAAUACCGGAUAAGCCCUUACGGGGAAAGAUUUAUCGCCGAAAGAUCGGCCCGCGUCUGAUUAGCUAGUUGGUGAGGUAACGGCUCACCAAGGCGACGAUCAGUAGCUGGUCUGAGAGGAUGAUCAGCCACAUUGGGACUGAGACACGGCCCAAACUCCUACGGGAGGCAGCAGUGGGGAAUAUUGGACAAUGGGCGCAAGCCUGAUCCAGCCAUGCCGCGUGAGUGAUGAAGGCCCUNGGGUUGUAAAGCUCUUUUGUGCGGGAAGAUANUGACGGUACCGCAAG